GUCUACAGCCAUGCCACCCUUAAUAAGCCCAAUCCUGUCUGAUCGUGGAAGCUAAGCAGAGUCAAGCCUGGUUAUUACUUGGAUGGGAGACCACCUAGGAAGACCAGGUGCUGUAGGCG
rnacentral:rRNA from 1 species